ensembl:lncRNA
CAUUGACACCACACUACCCUCCACAUUGACACCACACUACCCUCCACAUUGACACCACACUACCCUCCACAUUGACACCACACUACCCUCCGUAUUGACACCAAACUGUCCUCCGUAUUGACACCAAACUCCCUCCGUAUUGACACCAAACUACCCUCCGUAUUGACACCAAACUAUCCUCCGUAUUGACACCAAACUACCCUCCGUAUUGACACCAAACUACCCUCCGCAUUGACACCAAACUACCCUCCGUAUUGACACCAAACUACCCUCCGUAUUGACACCAAACUACCCUCCGCAUUGACACCACACUGUCCUCCGUAUUGACACCACACUGUCCUCUGUAUUGACACCACACUGUCCUCCGUAUUGACACCAAUCUACCCUCCACAUUGACACCAAACUACCCUCCGUAUUGACACCACACUGUCCUCCGUAUUGACACCAAACUACCCUCCGUAUUGACACCAAACUACCUCCGUAUUGACACCAAACUACCCUCCGUAUUGACACCAAAUUACCCUCCACAUUGACACCAAAUUGUCCUCCAUAUUGACACCACACUGUCCUCCAGACACCAAACUACCAUCCACAGUGACAAACUACCCUCCACAUUGACACCAAAUUGUCCUCCAUAUUGACACCAAACUGCCCUCCAUAGACACCAAACUACCCUCCAUAGAACCAAACGACCCUCCAUAUGACACCAAACUAUCCCAUAGACACCAAACUAUCCUCAGAGACACCAAACUAUCCUCCAUAGACAACCAAACUACCCUCCAUAGACACCAAACUACCCUCCAUAUUGACACCAAACUAUCCUCCAUAGACACCAAACUAUCCUCCAUAGACACCAAACUGUCCUCCAUAGACACCAACUACCUCCAUAGACACCGAACUACCAUCCAUAAGACACCAAACUACCCUCCAUAUGACACAAACUACCAUCCAUAGACACAAACUACCCUCCAUAUGACACCAAACUAACCUCCAUAUUGACACACAAACUACCCUCCAUAUUGACACAAACACCCUCCAUAUUGAACCAACUACCUCCAUAGACACCAAACUACCCUCCAUAUUGACACCAAACUAUCCUCCAUAGAACCAAACUACCCUCCAUAUUGACACACAAACUACCCUACCAUAGACACAACCAACUACCCUCACAUUAGACACCAAACUAUCCUCCUAGACACCAAACUGACCCUCCAUAUAGACACCAAACUAUCCUCCCAUAGACACCAAACUCCAGCAAAUCACCAACCUACCAUCCAUAGACAAACCAACUACCCUCCAUAUUGACACAAACUACCCUCCAUAUUGACACCAAACUACCCUCCAUAUUGACACCAAACUACCCUCCAUAUUGACACCAAACUACCCUCCAUAUGACACCAAACACUCCAAGACCCAACUACCCUCAUAGACCCACAACUACCCUCCAUAGACAACAAACUACCCUCCAUAUUGACACCAAACUACCUCCAUAGACACCAAACUAUCCUCCAUAGACACCAAACUACCCUCCAUAGACCCAACUACCCUCCAUAGACAACACUACCACCAUACCCACCCCCCAUAUUGACACCAAACUACCCUCCAUAGACACCAAAAUACCCUCCAUAUGACACACCAAACUACCCUCCAUAUUGACACCAAACUACCCUCCAUAUUGACACCAAUACUACCUCCAUAUUGACCACCACACUACCCUCCGUAGACACCAAACUACCCUCCAUAGACACCCUACCAACUAAAACUACCCUCCAUAUUGACACCAACUAUCC